AUUCUAACCCAUAUGCUUCAGGCGAAAUACAGUUAAGAUGAAAGUUCUUGUGUUGAGCAUUGUUCUCUGUUGUGUCUCUGCUGGGGCAUUUUUAGUUCAGACUCAACCGUUGCACCAGUCUACACCAGGUCAACAAAGUCUACAAAUUCUUACAAAGACGUUGUUGUCUCUUACGAAUCACUCAGCUGUGGUGGAGGAGAUUUGCCGAGUCUACCCUACUCUGAUCAUUCCCCACCCUGGCGAAUGUCAGCUGUAUUACAACUGCUCCCUGACGUACACCUCUGUCCCUGCCCAUCUGGAACAGCACAUGGUGGAGUGUAACUAUCCAGACCUGUUUUCUGAGAAGACAAAUCAGUGCGAAAAUUUCACCGAUGUCUGUUGUGGUGCAAGGACGGAAUUCAAAGAUAAGUGUAAGUUUGCAAGCAAUGAAUAAAAUUACAUGCAGAGUAGAGAAAUAGUGCUUUUUCAUUGAUAAAAUGUCGGUCUCUUUGUAAGCAGGUUCCUACCGACACGGAAACCAAAAUGGAUACUGUCAUUUCAAAUCUUGUAUCGGUGACCCUGAUGGCAUGGUUCAAAUUUUUAAUUUCCAUAACUUCAAGAUAUGCUUUAAAGAACGCCUUGUAGGGGAAGGGCAUUGCAAAAUUUGGUUUGAACUACCAUAUAAUGGGAAAUGCACAAGUAGACUUGACAUACCUAUUUCAAAAGGAGGACUGAUGCCAUCUUGUAAUGGAAAGACUGACGGUAUCUAUCGCUUUGAUCAUUCUAGCGCCCUGCAAUAUGCCAUGGAUUAUGGAGAUUAUUUUCAUAUUGGUCGGGUUUGUGAUGCAUACUACAAAUGUUUAGGCGGGAAUAUUACGGUAGUGAAGUGUGAGAAUGGAACCGUGUUUCAUAUUGACAGUGGUACAUGUAAACCGGGAAAUUCCUCGCUUCCUAAUAGUUGUCAGUUGUAUUGUAAUCCUCAGAAAACGAAUGUUCAUCCAUUUCCUGUAAACGUUGCGGAAUGUCCAUAUCCUCUACAGUUUUCGGAGACGACAGGGCGAUGCGAGAAUUUCACGGAGGUAACCUGUGGCACACGAAAAGAGGAGAAGUAUAUUUGCAAUUACUGGGAAUCGCUGUUUUACAACAGACAUGGAGGAAAUUGUGAUACUCGGAACAUUCGUGAUUGUCUUUACCUCCCAAACGGUGUCCACCGAGACCCAAGACGUUCUCCAUCAUCAUUUAUACGGUGCUAUGGAAAUAGAUUGGUUGAGGAAGGAAAGUGUACUAUCGACUCAGUUUGGGGUACACAAACAUUUAUAUACAACGGCACCUGCACCCAAAGGUUUGCCAUACCAACCUCAGGGGCGGACUAUGGACUCCUCCCUAGCUGUUCUGCGAAGCCAGAUGGGAACUACCAGUUCAGAACGAGGCCGUGUGAUGCUUACUACAGAUGCGAGGGCGGAAGGGCUACAUCAGUAAAAUGUCCAGAGCACACCCUCUUUGACGUCACCAGACGCACGUGCGCGUCAAACGUGGCUUGUUACCGUGCUUGAUGAAAUUCUUUUUAAUGUAUUUCUGUUUUCAUUUCAUAGAAAUAAAUGUCAUUUGAAUG
rnacentral:misc_RNA from 1 species